rnacentral:lncRNA from 1 species
AGCCCUAUAAAUGGGAUUAGUGCCCUUCUAAAAGCAGGGUGGGAGCGGGUGUGGGGGACGUGGGGGAAAACUCCCUUGCCCGUUGCACCAUGUGGAGACACAGCCAGGAGGUACUGUCUGUGCAGAAGGGACCCUCAUCAGACCUGGAAUCUGCCAGUGGGCUUCCCAGCCUCCAGAACUGGGAGAAACAAAUUCCUGUUGCUUAUAAGCCACCCAGCCUAUGUUGUUUUGUUACAGCAGCCCGAGGGGACUAAGACGGGUACUGUGUCCUAGAUUAGCUCAUUUAAUAUUCACUAUGAUCUAUGAAGCAGGCACUACUCUUCAUCAUUCAUGAACGAUUAUUUCCCGCUGAGAAAACUGAGGCACAGAGCAGUCAGUCGCCUAACUCACGGCCCCUGUGAGAGGGUCGCCAAGAUUCUGGAAUCCGGGCAGUCUGGCUCCAGAGUCCGUGCUCUUAGUGUCCAGCUAUACACUUGAAGAAGUGAAAACUGCAGCUCUUUUCGGACAGUGAUCCCCUCGAAAAACAAACAAAAAACUGAAGCCCAGCGGCUGGAGCAAGGGGCCUGGAAAGGCGUUGAGCGAGGGCCGGGGCGCGAGGGCUCCGGGGCGGGCCGGCGGGGACUGCCUCUCCCGCUGGUCACCUGGGGUUGAACUGGAAUUGUUCAAUAGAGGCCUCGAGGCCCUCCAUGAUCUUCCGGCCCUCCUCUGUCUCAGGCGAGUCGCCCCAGUUCGCCAUUGCAGCCCCGGACGUGCGCCUCCCGCGGAGCCGCUCGCUCUCCUGAGUCGGAGUCGGGAACCCGGCGUCCGUUGCCAUGGCGACUCCCAGGCUUCCCCACAAGACUCCCACAGCCUGGAGGCUGCUGCGAUACCCCAGAGGAAAGCUGCACCCCCGUAAAUAACCCUUCAGCCUCCCGCCGUGCCCCUGGACCCUGCUCGCUUCCUCCUCUACCCAGGCGCGGAGCUCAGCCUACCUCGUGGACCCGCGCAUUUGCGGGGGCUUGAAUUCCCGAGCUUCUCGCUUCCUACGCGCGCAGCAGACCCGCAGCUCGGUGGCCUUGGCUUUCAUGGCCUCCCAGCGUGUGCCAAAGGUCCCCCUCAAGGAGGAGGAAAAGCAGUGAACCCAUCUAAUAACUAUGCUCAUGACAUAAUGAGCCCUGCGAUCCCGGACCAAGGCCAUCAUAAGAGGAGAGCAGGCUGCCUAAUAAGCUGUCUCCACCUGCCACAAACGUAGGCGUUCCUGGACAAAAUAUUUCCUUGCAGAGAUUAAACAGAUUUCUAUUUAAUGAGGUCAGAAUGUGAGGCGUUAAGUCUUAAACUAUACCAUCUAGUGUGGAAUUCAAUUUUACCAGGUUUCUACAAUAAUAAGAGUUAAUAGUGAAACUGUUGUCAUCCUUAGUUUUAAAUUAUGUAUCACUCAUUGUCAACUAAUAGGAGACACCUAUUCUAAUAUCAGUAUGUCAUUGUUUUUCUGUAAACGACUGGCUAAAUUUAUUUUUAAAAUGUCAUUGUCUGGUUUAGAACUGUCUAUACUACAUCUGCAUUUCAAUAUAUUAUCUACAGAAAAAUAAGUUUUUUCUCCUCUCUCUUAUUAUUAUUAUUAUUAUUUUUUGGAGCCGGAGUCUCGCUCUGUCGCCCAGGCUGGGGUGCAGUGGCGCGAUCUGGGCUCACUGCAACCUCCGCCUCCCGGGUUCAAGCAAUUCUCCUGCUUCAGCCUCCCGAGCAGCUGGGACUACAGGCACACAGCACCAAGCCAGGCUAAUUUUUUGUAUUUUUAGUAGAGACGGGGUUUCACCGCGUUGUGCAGGCUAGUCUAACUCCUGAGCUCAGGCAAUCUGCCCCCCUCGGCCUCCCAAAGUGCUAGAUAACAGGCGUGAGCCACAGAGCCCGGCCUCUUCUCUGUCUUGUAACAGUAAGUGAAAAUAACUUAGCUGGAUUUAGAAGCUCAAAACAGGAAAAGAAAAGCACUGUAGCAUUAUCACUACUAUUAUGUUUAAAGACAAAGAUUAAAAGCCCCAAAUGCCAAUAAAAC